UACGGGGGAUGCGAGCGUUAUCCGGAAUUAUUGGGCGUAAAGCGCCUGUAGGCUGUUUAAUAAGUCUGUUGUUAAAUACCAGGGCUUAACCCUGGAAAAGCGACGGAAACUGCUAAACUUGAGUGUGAUAGGGGUAGGGGGAAUUUCUAGUGUAGCGGUGAAAUGUGUUGAUAUUAGGAGGAACGCCAGAGGCGAAAGCGCCCUACUGGGUCAUUACUGACGCUCAGAGGCGAAAGCUAGGGUAGCGAAAGGG
rnacentral:rRNA from 1 species